rnacentral:rRNA from 1 species
UACAGAGGGUGCGAGCGUUAAUCGGAAUUACUGGGCGUAAAGCGCACGUAGGCGGACUCUUAAGUCAGGGGUGAAAUCCUGGAGCUCAACUCCAGAACUGCCUUUGAUACUGAGAGCCUUGAGUCCGGAAGAGGUAAGUGGAACUGCGAGUGUAGAGGUGAAAUUCGUAGAUAUUCGCAAGAACACCAGUGGCGAAGGCGGCUUACUGGUCCGGUACUGACGCUGAGGUGCGAAAGCGUGGGGAGCAAACAGG